UAGGUGUUAACAAUUUACAGGUUUGUGGAAGCUGAUAGUUGGGGCACCUAAUGUGGAGACUUUGGUGAAGAAACCUGAUCUUCUGUCAUUUUAUAUUGCCAGUAAAAUUCCGGUAUCUGAAAGAACAAGGCAGGAACUUCUGGACAUUGAUGGAGUUUCAUAUAGAUUGAAGCGGGAAAUUGAGUUGCUUGAGAGUUUUGAUUGUAUUCGAUGUAAAAUCUGUAAGACUGUUAUUGCAAAGAGGAGUGAUAUGAUGGUGAUGUCUAGUGAAGGUCCUCUUGGUGCUUAUGUGAAUGCGCACGGUUUUGUGCAUGAGAUAGUGACUCUUCAAAAGGCAAAAGGCAUAGCCCUUUUGGGUAGACCAAGUAAAGAAUAUAGUUGGUUUCCUGGGUAUGCAUGGACAAUAGCAAAUUGUGCAACUUGUGAAACACAAUUGGGAUGGCUUUUCACAGGCACAAAGAAGAAUUUGAAGCCUGAAGAAUUCUGGGCAAUAAGAAGUUCCCAAGUUUCUGAUGAUAUCCACUAAAAUUGCCCGGUUUUCCUGCUGGCCAAGUUAAUACUGUAAUGAUCCCUACUUUUAUGUGUAUGUACAUAUGACUGCUAAGAACUGGUACAGAUUCUCCAAUUAUCUAAACGAACAGUUUGCUUAUUCCCCCAAGUCCUCGACCACAAACUUGAGAUUUGGAGCGCAUAUAAACCAAAGUGGCAGUAUAUUGGUGGAAGGGAGUUUGUGUAAUUGAAAAAUAGCCCUGUGAAUGAGAAGUUGUAAUUGAAACAAGAAAGUAAAAAGAACACCUCAUUCGUUUAUGCCAUGAUUUUGGGUCUUGAAAUUAUGGUGAUAAAAAUAUGAUUUGGAGGUAAGUUUCUUCAUCUCAGAACUCAUAUGGACAAGGCAAGAAAAGCUUAUGCAGAAAUUUAGUUGGAUGACAGCCUGUAAUGUUGAAAAGAACAUCCCAAUUUUGCUAAUAACAAUCAUGUAUGUGUUAUAUUGUAGGGGGUGGGAAGGGAAGUUUUUAUUUGCUUCACUUGGAAACAAGAUGGUAUGAAUUGAUGUUGGUGAUGUGUGGACCCUGAAACAUGCAACAAGGAGCUCAGGGAAGGCAAGUCCCGGAACGAGCAUCACAUGCUCGUUGUUGAAAUUAGCAAAUGCUUUGUUAAUCUAGUCUAGGCAGAAGUUUUUCCAUGGAAUGUGGCUUCAAAAAGUACUCUUAUUAUUGUUAUUAUCAUCUAAAGUGUGCAUUAAGCUGAAGAUUUCACAAAUAA